ACGGUCCAGGAUUAGAGUUCUGUAUUAAAGCUAGGAGACAAAUGAACGGCUACAAAACGAAUGACGAGACUUCAGCGGGGAGAAGCAUGGCUUGUGUUCCUGUUUUUCGGAGUUUUUCAAGUUAUUGUUGUAACCGGACCUAUGGAUUGUCUGAGAAGGAAGGAUUAGACACAAGUGGGAUUUGUUAAAACCACACAUUUCAGAUGUAACAAAGACGUCAUUUGUUCAACUGGAGAAGUUGAGUGGACACCUACACUAGGACAGUGGGAAUCUGCUCCUAAUUGUCAGGGAAGAUGACUUACUGCCGAAUAACAGGAGGAAUGCUGUUGGUUUCCUUGUAAAUCCUCUAGUGUUGCCAAAUGAGAGCACGGGGGAAAUAGUUUGCUACGUGCGAUGACUCAGUGGAUUUCAGCCGUUCGGCGGUGCCGGGAAGCCACUCCAGCCACUCAGGCCAAUCCUACAGCCGCUGCUCGUAACACCCGAAAGAGCGCAGCGACUGGAGAGUAAACGAACAGAGAGAGAGAAUUGAAGAGAGAUUUCUGUAGGUGUCCUAUUUUGACUGCCUUCUCUUCCAACGUCAGUGUAAAAUACUGAAGAAACCACAGCAGUCCUUUCGCAGUGUUUCUCUAUACAACGCCAAAAGGAUUGCACAAAUGUCCAUUUGUCCGUGUGUAACAAAACUGUGGCAAAAGCACGGUGACUAAGUAUUCAGGAACUGAGGACGUGGUACGAGAGAAUCUGCCUCCUGUUCCAGCCGCAGACCGUUCCUUUUGAGGGCGACGGAUUUGUUACCCGGCUACCAGUUCUGCGACCAGCUAUUGUGGUACGAUCAUCAGAAGCUCUUUCCCAGGAAGCCCACGCUUCUGCUCAUACAAAAACCGAACCAGAAUUGGCCAGCGAUGCUAAUGAGAGCUUCUGGAUAAUACGAGAUCAGUGGAAUCGUGAUUUUGAGACAAGCAGUGUGCACGGCCCGACGGCACAUGUGAAUGCUGUCUGAGUUCCGCUACAUCCAGCAGUACGCACGGCGUUUGGGAAGUCAGGCCUUACCUGGACCAAGGUGACAGUGCAGCUGGGGGAUGUCCCAAACUCAGGUCCCUCGCCUUCAACUUCAGGAAGCUCUACCAAAUUCAAGAAGGAACACGAUUCUGAAAUUCAACCGCAACGCGGCACACCCAGGAAGCACACCACACAAUUCAGCUCAAAAACAGAUGCAUCAUCACCUGCUUCCCAGCACUCGGAAGCAACCUCAGACGUUUCCAGUUUUUGGGGGAAGCACACGGAAAUGGGAAGAACAGAGCCACGCAUAGACGUUCUUCUUGAUGCAAACCUGGAGAAGAACAGACUGACCUUUUCCACCAGCUACACUGGAAAAGAAGUUGUUGAGAGCAGAGCAGCAACUUUCCUUCUAGGUAAGCAAGGCUCCCCAGCACCCC